GGACUGGAAGAGACCUUUGUCUGAAACCCUCGAGAGCUGCUACCAGUCACUGUUGACAGUUCUGAGCUAGAGAGACCAAGAGCCUUGCACCAAGGACCAAGGCAACUUCGUAUGUCACAGGGUUCUUGAAUCCAGGUGUCAGAACUGGGAUCCUUGAUACACCAUAGUGAAGUCAACCACGGUAUCAAUUCAGUUCCCUUUAGGAAUUGGGUUUUGCAAGGACUGGACAGACCUAGGAUUUGAUUUGUAAGGAAAAUAUCCUUUCAUAUGACUAAUUUUGUAAGAAAAGAAUGUCUAGCCUAGAGGUAUGGAUUCUUUUAAUAUUUAAAAUUAGAUUCUUUAUUAAUAAUGUGCCAGAAUAAUUGAGCCUAGGGAGAUGGCAGAGGAAGGGAAAAAAUAUUAACAGGGGCAGAACAAGGAAAGUUUAUGGUAUGAUUUUUAUCAAGCUUCAUUGGAAUGGAAUCAAAAUGCAGAGGGCAGACUUAAAAAAAAAAAACCAGCCAUAGAGUAUUAGGUCCAAGGAGAAUAGAUGGCUGUGUUUUCCAUGACUGUGUUGUGGUUUCACAUACAUGAAAUGUAUAAAUAUAGGUGCAGUUAUUUGAUAUCAAAAAAAUGAAUAUAUCAGAUAUGUAUGUGUAUGCGUACCGCCUCCAUUCUUGCAUGUUAAGAAAACAAUUGGAGGUGCUCUUGGUAGUUCUGUCACCAUCAAAAGUGUGGGGAAUGGCAGCCCAGCAGAGAGCUAUUUCCUGUGGAAGUGUCGUAAGCUCAGUGUUGGAGCCUCUGCCUUCCAUGCAAAAGGUUCUUGUUUCAAUUAGCAUUUGAAAAUCGCCAUGCACAUUUUGCACCCGGCUAUCAGCCACUUGCAACCAAGUGAAGAUUCCCUGGCACCAGGGUGGCGCCUGACGUCUUCACCAUCUGGAGGUGCAUGCCUGGGGACCCUUGGUUCUUUGCUUUUACACGCUAGCAACACAUCCUGUAGAAUUCUAUUCAUGAUAUAUUAUUUGCACAAUCAGUACGAAUUUCUGGAACAAAAAAGCCAUAUUGAAAAAUAGAACGUUUGAGCCGUCUGGCCCCAAAAUGGCAACUAGGCAUUCUGUUUUGGCGACUGUGACCCUGGUUUAAGUAGCCAUUUGGCGCCUAGUUUAUAUACCUGAGUUCCUAACACUGGUUUCAAUCCCGAGCACCACCAUUUAGGGCUGGGAAUGUCCCCUGCCUGAAAUGCUGGAGAGGUGCUGCCAGUCAGUGCAUACAAUACUGAGCUGGAUGGGCAGUGCUCUAACUGUAUGAGGCAGCUUUGACUGUUUCUGUGCCAGCUUUUAAACCGUGGAACUCUCUUCUUACAGAGGUGCCUCUUCAUUGUAUAGUUCUUUCCAUAAGAAGACAAACCUCUUUCCACUGGCCUUUGAUAGCUACGGCAUUUUGUUCUGUGGGACACACCUCUUUGGUUGAACCUGUACUAUUCUGUUUUUGCUGUAAUGGUUAUGCCUUGCUUGUUUUUAUAGUUUGAAUUGUUUUUAUAGUUAUAAAUUGAUCCCACUGUUGCAUGUCAAGGAUAAGUUUCUAAGACUGAAAAUUAAAAGUAUAAUUGCUGUCCCUGUAUAAGAAUGCAUUAAUUUCUCCUAAAUAAUUUCCCCCCUUCUGCUCUGAGAUGGUUUAUCUGCAUUGGCUGUUCCAUAUUUUGUGGAAAGGAAAGAAGUAAUAUUUAAAAAGAAGGUGAAACUUCUAAAAGGUUUUCCAACUUUGUUAUUGAUGAUGUCUCUUUAAAAAAAAAGGACCAGAAAGUUGUUAAAUGCAGCCUGGGUCUGAUACAAGCUACAGAGUUGACUCAUUCUCUUACCAGUAAUACUUUGAAGUUCUGCUUGUAGAUAAUGUUCACUGUGGGGGCAGUUAAUAGCAGCAGUUGUACAACAUUUCAGGCAUAUAAUUCUGCUUUGUAAACUGAUGAGGCUGGAAGACCAGUUGUGUGCAGGAGGGAAGAGAGCUUGAAUUCCUGAGACUUCAGCUCGUGUACUUAGCUCCAGUGCCUCACCAAAUCUCAUAUGUGGUCAUAUUUCACCAGUGUGGGGUGCAGUGGUUAGUGUUGGACUUGGACCUGGGAGACCAGUAGUCAAAUCUCAAUUCAGCCAUGAAUCUCACUGCAAGACCUCAGGCCAGUCACAGUCUCUCAGCCUAACCUACCUCACAGAGUGGGAUGUGAAGGUAAGGAAUAAAUGGGAACCUUUGUCCUAUGGGUCUCAUCAGGCCUAGCAUGGGGCCCAGUUUGGCCCGUGAGGCCAUUCCUCACAAAACAAAAGCCCACCUGCCCCAUAUAAAAUAUCAUGUGUGGGGCAGGUAUGGAUGCGGCAAUUGGGAGCUUGCACACUGUCAAUUCCACUCAACUGAUCAUCACUGAUGGGAGAGACCCCUAAGGUAUUAGCUGCCCUAGGUAGCCCCCAUUGAAAAAUCCUGAGUGCAGCCAAGGCAGCUCUGUUUCGAAUCAUUUGCAAUUGAGGCUGCUUGCUAAGACAGCUUCCCAACCCCCUGCAGUGGGGGGACCCCUCAAAUUUUAUGAGUUUCUAAGCAGAUUGCUUCAUCAAGCCCUGUUAAAGGUGUGUUCCCAUUUCCAGUCAGUUGAUUGGCUCUGGGUGCAUGUAUUUGAAGGUCUCUUUAACACCCCAUCAGCUGAUCCCCCUUGAACUUUGACAUACAUGAGACCUGGUGAUUGCUAGGUGGGCAGUCCUGCUCACCUGGCUAAGUUGGCCCAUUGAAGGUGGGGAGACUGAGGGAUGCAGCCUGAUCCUGUUCUCUGCUCCAGCCAUAUGUCGAAUCCAGUGUCUGAUUCUCCUCUGCUUCCUCAAAUCCUAAAUUUAAAGAGACACAUCCCAUGUUUUCAGGAUUGUUUUUCUGUUCGAGCUUCAAACUCCCAAAUCUUCUCCCGCUUGUUACAGACAAAGAAAAAGAGGAAUGCUUUCUUCUGCUGUAUAUCCAGUUCAGCAUCCCAUUUGCAUUAAUGCACAUUCUGUUCCUGCAUAUAAAUAAUAUCACUGCUUGAGAAUGACUUUUGAAGUACAUGGGCGAAACCAAAUAUUACCCUUGGCUUUUUUUUAUUAUCUCACACUGUAGUAUGUGCAAGAAUUAUACGGCGAAUCCCGGAGGCUAAUGGGGAACCAGUUAGACAGGGACUGAGUGCUCCAGUUAAGCAAGCCAAUUUUGAAUGCUGCUGAUGAAAUCUCAUAAAUCCGCAACAUGGAUGCAAACUCUAGUAACCCUGGUAUACUUAAGCAUGGAGAAGUUGUUUUGCUCUCGGACUUUUGGGAUAUCUAGUACCUUUUGGAGGGGGGGACAAUGCGCUGCAGACAGGCAGGAGUGGUGCCCACCUUGAGGUUUCUCACAGCGCAUCUCUAGGAUUACCAGUGGUUUGGAGAGUGUUUCCUCACUGCUCUAUUUCUUCACAGAUUUGUAGAGUUGGAAGGGACCCCCAGGGUCCUCUAGUCCAACCCUUUGCAAUGCAGGGAUCUCAACUAGAGCAUAUAACUUGUAGAUUACUUGCCUUGCAGUUGUUUUGUAGCAGUGACAUGCAAGAGAACAGUCAUCCUAUAGAAAAGUGUGUGAAUCAUUCAGCCCAGAUGGCCCUUGUUCAACACUGUGCAUGGAGUAACUUGGAUGUAUUAAGUCAGUCUGUUUUUUUUGGAGGGGGGGGUUGUUGCUUACAACUUCGGCCAUCCUGAAUUGAUCGGUUUAUGUCCUGACUGGCUACUCUUGUGUUGUCUUGUGCAGUUAUUGUAGAUGAAGCUUGCCUAUUCUAUACUUUGUAGCAGAAACUGGGAUUUAGAGAGCUUUGCUUGAGGCCAAACAGGUACCUGAUGCUGUUCUUAAGUAUCUGUGUUUCCCAGGGCCCUGUCAAACUGCUCUGAAAGUCUUCCUUGACUUGGGAAGGGGUCUGCCUUUUUGUCUAUAGCCAUCCUCUUAAAGGUUUGUGGUCACAUUUGUGUAUUUGGGCGGGUGCUGAAGACACCACCCACUCUCGUCACUUCUUUCCCCUGGAUUAGCGGCUCCCUACGCUGAGUGAGGAAUCUGGGUAAAUCCAGUAGAACUAAUCUAAAUUUUGGGCAUCUGGUAGAGCUGAAAGAGGAAGUGGGAAAGUGUUCCUCUUCUAACUUGCUCCUUCAACUUUACAUUCUUUUCAGGGGAGAAGAAGGUAACCACCCUCAUGACCAAGCAGUCAGUGAGUGGUGGUGAGGCAGGGGUGGUGAUCUCAGUGGCUUCGCAGGCAUCAGCAGAAGACCUCCAGGGUGCUAUUGUUUUCACAGUUGCCAUGUUGGUGAGCCGAAGUUUACAGGGUAGAUUGCUGUGGAAUAAAUGGCUUCAAAACUCAUUCCCUGAGCCUGUUGUGCUGUUGCUGUCCUGGAUGUGAGAGGUGAUUAAAAAAAUAUGGGGCAGAUUAUUGACUCUCCUGAACUUUGGACUGCAGGUGGGAGAUUAAUUGAUUGUGAAUGCUGUACCAUGUUUUGCAGAAUUAUUUGUUCCAAAUGGAAUGUGGAUGGGUUCAGACUUGUCCUUUCUCUGACGUUCUAGCUUUUCAUGGGCAGGGAGUCCAUGCAACUCCACACCCUACAGUCUGCUUUGUUUUGCUUUUUCUGCAUUCUUUAAUUUGACUCCAGAGUAGCUAUUUAUAUAGGACAACUCCAUACUAUUAGAUUGAGCCCUGGCUGUGUAUUUUUUUUCUAUUUCUUUUCUAUUCCAUAGUUAGUCUUUUUCUUGAAAGAGGGGCAGUAUUCAAAACUAGUCCUACACAGAGCAGACCAACUGACGUUAAUGGGCCUGACUAACUUAGGUUUAUUAAUCUGAAUAGCUCUAUUCAAAUUGAAUAGUUGAAUACAACAAACAAAUUCUAGAACUUGGGGCCCCAGAUGAGGCGGGGGAUGAAAGGCUGCUCCUUGGAUUAUUACCCAGACUAGAGCCUCAAUCAGUUCUUUCCUUUGCUCCAUUUUAAAAAUGAAAAGGUAUAUUUUGGGAAAUGGAACUUGCUACUGUUGGUUUUUAAUGUGAAGAUGGAGAAAUCUAAUUGGGAAAAGUCUCGAUCUCCAUUGUCUUACUCUUUUAUCAGCCCACCUGCACAAAACUGCUCUUGCAUUUAGGCUUGCUGAAGUAAAAACUUCAUUUUUUCAAGGUUACACUUGGACUUUAAUGCCCAGAUUUCAUGAACUAUCUAAUCUGCUUUUGCAGCAUUGGAAGUAUUACCAUGUGGUUUUCAUAUCAUACAGUAAGUUCAAACUUAAGCACCACACUCUGUCCAUUUCUUUGUAACAUCAACAGGAAAAUGCUGAUUUCUACUUGCCCACCAUUCCUUCAUGUAGUGACUUUCUAAUUCUGUAUUGAGCAAAGCAGAGGAAUGUUUGAUUUGCAUUUAUUGUAAUCUUAAUGUUAUUUGAGGUGGAGAAGCAGCAGCAAAGCCAGGCAGGAGAGAGCAUAUACAGUGAUGGGCAUACAGGAGUCUUGGUCCAUUUAGAUUAUAUCCUGAAUACAUUAAUCCAUAUCCUGUUAUUUCACAUUGCUCAGUCACUACUGCCGGCUCACUAAUGUGAACUAAUUGCAUUUGCUCUAGUAAAGCAGUUACACCCCCCCCCCCCCGAAUAUUUCUGCAAUAGAUAUUAGCAUUAUCAGUUUGGUUGCAUGAAUGGAAUUGCAGUGCAUGAUGUCAAAAGAAAAAUAUGAUAGCACAACCUUCCAGUUUUAAAACAAAUAAAUAAUAAUAAUUGACAUUGUGUAUUCUGUGCUUUAGCGGUCCUUGGCACGCACACAUUGUAGAAUCGUGGUGCUUUAGAAUCACAGAACCAUAGAAGAGUUGGAAGGGACCACGAGGUUCAUCUAGUUUGUAAAGGGUUUGAUGAAUUCAUCCAAAAAAUUUGGGAGGGUGAGAAGAGCAAACAACUUGCUGAGGCCACUUCUUGGGUCUUUAAAUUUACAUUUGGGUUUCCCCUUUUGUUGUUUGUUCUAAAUGGAUGGACUGAAAAAGUAACGUCCUUUUGAGAAUCUUUCCUUUGGGGAGACUGUGUGUGUUUAAUUCCCACAAUGGGGCUUGGUGCUGGCAACAAGCCACUGCGGCUGAAAGAAAAAACCUUUCCCCUUGAAAAUCAAGUGCCUAGAUGCUGUCCAGUCUCUGAACCUGAGAGAAGCAAAGGAUAGGUCAAGGUAUGGAGCUCAUAUCCUCCCAGAUGAUGAUGGACUAGAAUUCGCAUAAUCCCAGACCACUGGCUGUGCUGCCUGAGUGAUGUCUGUCUUAACAUCGCAUCUCCAGCUCAACAUUGUGAUACCCCAAUACUUCAUGAUGUCAGAAAUAAGGAUGUUACUAUGUCAAGGUGAACGAGGUAAUGUCCUGGAAACUGCUGCUACUUAGGUGUCUGAAACUGGUACAUUUUUACUUACCUUUAACAUAUUGUGACUUUUUUUUAUAGUACAGAGCAAUAGGGGCAACAGGAAUCAUGAGAGAAGUGAUGACCGGCCUCACAGUUUUCCCCAUGUUAUGAUUUUUCCUCUGUGCCAUUCAUGUACUAUAGACAUCGCUGAGCUAGAUGGAUGAAUGUCUGACUCGGUAGAAGGCAGCUUCCUAUCUUCAUAUAGAUGCAUUUAUUCACUACAUUUUUCUCUUGCUACUACAGAGUGUGUCCUAUUGAUGAGGUCACCCAGUGUUGGUGCCUUGCAGUGCUUCACUGGAAUCUUUGUCUCUCUUGGUGUCAGCAUCUUACUUACAUCAGCUGUGUAGCAUUUGUAAGUUUCUGGAUUGAUGAUAAUAAUAAUAAUUUAUUAUUUAGACCCCACCCAUCUGGUUUUUUUCCCCCAGCCAGUCUGGGCGGCUUCCAACAAAAGAUUAAAAAUACAAUAAAAUAUCAAACAUUAAAAACUUCCCUAAACAGGGCUGCCUUCAGAUGCCUUUUAAAAGUCAGAUAGUUGUUUGCUGAGCAUCUGUUAUGCAAGUUCUUUCAACCUGACUGAAAACACAUAGCAAUUUCUGGAAGAAGACGACUCCCUAUUUCUGGUGGGGUGUUUUAGAGAAGUCUUAGUGUCCCAGGAAUCUUCAACUUCGGUUGGCGAUUGACAUUUUUUUCUUUGUGAACCUUCAGUACAGAAGUGGUAAUUUCUGCGGUUUGUGUUACACUUUUCACAGUCAAGUCAGUUUAUUGUGUUUUAUUAGCAGACAGCCAUUAUAUACAUGAAAACAACAACAACAAUAAAGAUUUACAUUUCUGCUCCUUAACGUUUAACGGAUAGAUAAUUUCCCAUACCCCCCUUUAAGUUUUAAUAGCACAGAUUUGUGGAGCCUUAGCAAGAAAUUUAGAUAUUCUGAAGGAUAUAUACUUCUCUACAUUGGACAGCAUAAAACCCCCAAGUUUUUGCUAGGGAUUACUUUCCCUGCUGUGAUCUUAACAAUGGGUAAAUAUAGUUAUAUCUGUGUUCAUUAUGAAAAAGGGCAUUCAAGGAACACAUGAAUUGCAUCUUCUGUUGAGACAGAGUUGCAAUGACAAAUUCUGUCCUCCUUAGGAAUUCCUUUGUGCUGGCCCAUCCAAUCUGUUAGUGGAAGGACUUUAUAAAAGUUUAAAAAUGCAUUAUUUUGUAGGGCUUUAUAUAAAUAGCAUCCUCUCUACGCAUUGAAAUGAGUUACUGCAUAUUUCACUCAGCUUAUUUACUGGAUUUGAAUAUUUUCUGUUUCGUUGAGAGGAAGGGUGGUAAAACACCUGCUUUAGAAAAGGUCACAAGUUCAGUCUUCAUCUUUUCCAGGUAGGGCUGGCAGAAACUCCAGACUGCUGCUACCUGUCAUCGUAGAAAAUGCUGAGCUAAAUGGACUGAUGCUGUGUCUCAGGAUAAAACAAAAAUAGAGCCAUUUCUGCCUAUAUUACUUAGCUUGAUUGCUUUGUCUAAAUUACUCACUGAGUGUACAUGCAUUGUGUGAUGGCUGUUCUCUUCCUGGGAGUGGCUGAAGCAAGCUAGACCUCUUAAAGUAGUUUUGCACGGCACAUCAAGAUCUUUUGAGAUUUAAAAACAGUUUUAUGAAUUCGUGAUAUUAUUAUUACUGCCCUGAUCAUAUAGCGUGUCUAUUAAGUAUUUGAGCCUCACUCCAGAGUGCUUGUUAAGAAAGGUAUAAAUUAGUCUAAGAAAUAAUGAUAGCUUUGCAAGUAGAAAGUAUCACCUCCAUUGCAGGAAAAUCCUUAUAAUCUAAAAGGACAGGGGACAGAUACUGCGUGGGGAUCAUGUCAAAACUGGGCUCAUGCAGAGUGUUGCUUUGAAUGUCCCUCUGAGCUAAUGUCACUGAAAAUUGAAAUGCUGAAAUUGAAAAGUGGCCUGUGCCUUGAAAAAUAAUAAUAUUUUCCACAAAAUGCUUUCUGAAACUCGUCUUCCUUGUCUAUUCAUUUUGAAAUAUCAUUGGCUUAGAAUGAAGGAGAACUCCCUGUUUUUCUUCUGCAAUGAUGCACCACUUGUAUUGAGUGCUGCCAAUUGCCACCUUGCCUCAAGGUAUCUGAGCACUCCAUGCGUAGUAUGGAUGCAGAACUGUUUUGCUUGUGAAGCUGUGUCGUACUCUGGCUUUGCUCAAACAUUUUUCUAGAGAGGGCGUUGCAGCUUCUGGACAAUCUGCUGCUGUAAAGUCAGCCACUCAAAGAAAGCCGCUCGUUUCUUUGUCUAGGGGAUAGAGAACUGCUGACAAAACUUGAAUGCUGGCCAGCCGCCAUUUUGAAUCAAGAUGGCAAACCAAAACAUGACUUUGCCCAGUUUGGCCUGACGGCUACAAACAAUCUGGGACUUUUUGCGGGCGCCAGGUCAUUGUAGGGGCCGUAAGUUCAGCAAUGAAGCAAAUGUUUUCUCUCAGAAAGUUCUUUCCUUUUGUUGGGCUUCUAGUCCUUUUGUUGAGAUUUCCAAACCUCCUUUAUCCUUGAGGAAUGUGAAUGCAUCAUGUAAUCCUUGUGUUGCUUUGGACUCCCAAGUAGGAAUUGGAAAAAGCCUUCCAGACCACCAAAAGACUUUUCACCUACAUGCCCGCACGUAACUGUGGUGAGUCACAGGGCAGCUGAAGAACUCCCUUACUGGGGCUCUGACUCACCUGUGAAAAACUGCAAUGCUGUGGGCGAGUAGCUAAUUCUCCACCUGCCUGAACUCUAAGUAAUGGAGAGUGGCAGUGUGGGCUCUCUUCACCCACCCAGCUUGCCAGAUUCCUCCUACCAAAGCUUGGGGCAUGGAUAGAGCUGGGGGGGGAAAUCCCUGAGUCAUUAUUUAAGCAUUGCUUGAUCCCUCCAUGUGCUGGAGUUGAUAUAGGCUCCAAAUAUAUAGUUUUAUUCUAGAACCCAGGAGAUUUUCCCCCACCACAAGAUCUGCAUAUGCAGGUGUGUGGAUGGAUGAAAUCUUAUACACCCUCUCUAUCCGGCGAUGAAAGUGGCUUACACGUUCCCCCCUGCAGUCCGUAGCAUGCCUGUUCUUGUCCACUUCACCAGUGUCUCUUUGCCCCAGCUGCCAGUUUAUCCCCAGGGGAACUCUUGUUGAGGAUAUGGCUAGUGGAAUGUUUUGUGUGCAGAAGUUUCCAGGUUCAAUCCCUAGCAUUUCCAGGUAAGUUAGGAAACACUUUUGUCUGAUACCCAGUCAGUCAGUUUAUACCUAGGUGGAAUCUACACACAAAUAAAAGAUGUUCUGAAAAUGCUCCCCCGCCCUUAAAGAAAAGUGUUUUAAAAAAUACAUUGAAUUUUCCAUAAGGCUCGCCAUCGCCAUCUAGUGUCACAUUGUAUAUUGCAUUUAAAACACGCUUUAAAUGUUUUAUUUGCAGCUGUAUAGCUGAAUCCCUGGUAUAUCCAGUUACUUGGCCAAAAGCACCCAAGACCCAACCAUUGAAUACCAUUUUAGCUCCAGCUAAAGCCAUCGGCUUCUCCAGUUGUUUAAUUUUUUUUAUGGCUUUGCAGAGGGUCAUCUGAUUCGGGGGCAGAGAUGGUGGAAUCUGUGACCCUACAGAAGUCAACAGCUCCCAUCAACCACAGCCAGGAUGACCAAAGGCAGUAUAAGAAAUUCAAGUAUAUAAGCUAGGCACCAAAUAGCUCCUUAAACCAAGGUUGCAGUCACCAAAAUGGAAUGCCUUGUUGUCACUUUUUGGUAAGACGGCGCUAAAGUCGUAUUUUUCAGUUGAUGGAGUGACUGAUUCUCAGUUAAACAUCUAGCUAGUUCAGAUGACAUCCUUGAACUAGGUUAAGAACUUUGAGAACUUAAAGAAGGAAAGUUUCUUGAACCAGGGGCAGCCCACAUAUAUAUUGGCCUAUUCUGACCUCUUUUUCUUAGUGGUGACUGUUCCUGCUUAGGCUGCACUGAAAAAGCAAUCUGGUUCCUGAAAUUUAUUCCGAUUGUGCAGAUAAAAUAUAACUGAUAGACUUCUACAGGGUGUGGUAUUAGUCUGUGAAAACAGUCCAGAUCCAAUGAUCCUCAGAUGGUGGAGAUGUUUGGCACCAUCCUGGUGGUCAGGCAUCUUUGCUUGGUCAAAAGUGUUCAAUACUUCAUCUAGGUUGGAGGCUAUCACAGUUUGUCGGGGGACCAGGUUCCAUAGUUUAACUGUGUGCUGCACGAAAAAGCAAUCUCUUUUAUCUUUCCUGAACUUUCCAUCAUUCAGCUUCCUUGGAUGUCCACAGGUUCUUGUAUUAUGAAGGAGGGAGAAAAUCUUUUCUCUGGCCACUUUUUCCAAGAAUAUUCAGCCUUCUAGUCUACAAAAGCGAACAGAGAUUGCAGCAGUGCGGGGGGCGGGACUCUACUUGCAAGUCAGAUUUGGCCCCCCAGGCUUCCCUGUUUGGCCAUGAGGCUGUUUUGGGCUGAUGGGCACGGCCAAAUGUCAGGUGUGGACAC
rnacentral:lncRNA from 1 species